CCUACGGGUGGCAGCAGUGAGGAAUAUUGGUCAAUGGACGAGAGCCUGAACCAGCCAAGUAGCGUGAAGGAUGACUGCCCUAUGGGUUGUAAACUUCUUUUAUAAGGGAAUAAAACGAGGCACGUGUGCCUUUUUGCAUGUACCUUAUGAAUAAGGAUCGGCUAACUCCGUGCCAGCAGCCGCGGUAAUACGGAGGAUCCGAGCGUUAUCCGGAUUUAUUGGGUUUAAAGGGAGCGUAGGUGGGUCGUUAAGUCAGUUGUGAAAGUUUGCGGCUCAACCGUAAAAUUGCAAUUGAUACUGGUAGUCUUGAGUACAGUUGAGGUAGGCGGAAUUCGUGGUGUAGCGGUGAAAUGCUUAGAUAUCACGAAGAACCCCGAUUGCGAAGGCAGCUUACUAGCCUGUGACUGACGUUGAUGCUCGAAAGUGUGGGUAUCGAACAGGAUUAGAUACCCCAGUAGUC
rnacentral:rRNA from 1 species